rnacentral:rRNA from 1 species
CCUACGGGAGGCUGCAGUGGGGAAUAUUGGACAAUGGGGGCAACCCUGAUCCAGCCAUGCCGCGUGAGUGAUGAAGGCCCUAGGGUUGUAAAGCUCUUUUGUGCGGGAAGCGGUACCGCAAGAAUAAGCCCCGGCUAACUUCGUGCCAGCAGCCGCGGUAAUACGAAGGGGGCUAGCGUUGCUCGGAAUCACUGGGCGUAAAGGGUGCGUAGGCGGGUUUCUAAGUCAGGGGUGAAAUCCUGGAGCUCAACUCCAGAACUGCCCUUGAUACUGGAAGUCUUGAGUAUGGGAGAGGUGAGUGGAACUGCGAGUGUAGAGGUGAAAUUCGUAGAUAUUCGCAAGAACACCAGUGGCGAAGGCGGCUCACUGGCCAUACUGACGCUGAGGCACGAAAGCGUGGGGAGCAAACAGGAUUAGAUACCCUUGUAGUC